rnacentral:rRNA from 1 species
UACAGGAUUCCCUAGUAACUGCGAGUGAAGAGGGAAAAGCUCAAAUUUAAAAUCUGGCAGUUUCACUGUCCGAGUUGUAAUUUAGAGAAGUGUUACCCGCGCUGGACCGUGUAUAAGUCUCCUGGAAUGGAGCGUCAUAGAGGGUGAGAAUCCCGUCUUUGACACGGACUACCAGGGCAUUGUGGUGCGCUCUCGAAGAGUCGAGUUGUUUGGGAAUGCAGCUCUAAAUGGGUGGUAAAUUCCAUCUAAAGCUAAAUAUUGGCGAGAGACCGAUAGCGAACAAGUACCGUGAGGGAAAGAUGAAAAGAACUUUGGAAAGAGAGUUAAACAGUACGUGAAAUUGCUGAAAGGGAAACGCUUGAAGUCAGUCGCGUUGGCCGGGGAUCAGCCUUGCUUUUGUGAGGUGUACUUCCUGGUUGACGGGUCAGCAUCAGUUUCGACCACUGGAAAAAGACUUGGGGAAUGUGGCACCUUCGGGUGUGUUAUAGCCUCUUGUUGUAUACAGUGGUUGGGACUGAGGAACUCAGCACGCCGCAAGGCCGGGUUUCGACCACGUUCGUGCUUAGGAUGCUGGCAAAAUGGCUUUAAGCGACCCGUCUUGAAACACGGACCAAGGAGUCUAACAUGCUUGCGAGUGUUUGGGUGGAAAACCCGAGCGCGUAAUGAAAGUGAAAGUUGGGAUCUCUGUCGUGGAGAGCACCGACGCCCGGACCUGAUGUUUACUGACGGAUCUGCGGUAGAGCACGUAUGUUGGGACCCGAAAGAUGGUGAACUAUGCCUGAAUAGGGCGAAGCCAGAGGAAACUCUGGUGGAGGCUCGUAGCGAUUCUGACGUGCAAAUCGAUCGUCGA